rnacentral:rRNA from 1 species
CAAGUCGGACGGGAUUGGAGAGCUUGCUUUCCAUGAGAGUGGCGCACGGGUGCGUAACACGUAUGUAACCUACCUUCACCAGGGGGAUAGCCUCUCGAAAGAGAGAUUAAGACCGCAUAACAUUGUAAUGUGGCAUCACAAAACGAUCAAAUAUUUAUAGGGUGAAGAUGGGCAUGCGGAACAUUAGCUAGUUGGUAAGGUAACGGCUUACCAAGGCUACGAUGUUUAGGGGAUCUGAGAGGAUGACCCCCCACACUGGUACUGAGACACGGACCAGACUCCUACGGGAGGCAGCAGUAAGGAAUAUUGGUCAAUGGGCGGAAGCCUGAACCAGCCAUGCCGCGUGCAGGAAGACGGCCCUACGGGUUGUAAACUGCUUUUAUACGGGAAUAAACCUACUUACGUGUAAGUAGCUGAAUGUACUGUAAGAAUAAGGAUCGGCUAACUCCGUGCCAGCAGCCGCGGUAAUACGGAGGAUCCGAGCGUUAUCCGGAUUUAUUGGGUUUAAAGGGUGCGUAGGUGGCCUGUUAAGUCAGGGGUGAAAGACGGUAGCUCAACUAUCGCAGUGCCCUUGAUACUGAUGGGCUUGAAUGAACUAGAGGUAGGCGGAAUGUGACAAGUAGCGGUGAAAUGCAUAGAUAUGUCACAGAACACCAAUUGCGAAGGCAGCUUACUAUGGUUUGAUUGACACUGAGGCACGAAAGCGUGGGGAUCAAACAGGAUUAGAUACCCUGGUAGUCCACGCCCUAAACGAUGAAUACUCGAUGUUGGCGAUAUACGGUCAGCGUCUAAGCGAAAGCGUUAAGUAUUCCACCUGGGGAGUACGCCCGCAAGGGUGAAACUCAAAGGAAUUGACGGGGGCCCGCACAAGCAAAGGA